rnacentral:rRNA from 1 species
GACGAACGCUGGCGGCGUGCUUAACACAUGCAAGUCGAACGCUGAAGACCUGGCUUUUGUUGGGUUGGUUGAGUGGCGAACGGGUGAGUAACACGUGAGUAACCUGCCCUCUUCUUUGGGAUAACGCCCGGAAACGGGUGCUAAUACUGGAUAUUCACUGAUCUUCGCAUGGGGGUUGGUGGAAAGGUUUGUUCUGGUGGGGGAUGGGCUCGCGGCCUAUCAGCUUGUUGGUGGGGUGAUGGCCUACCAAGGCUUUGACGGGUAGCCGGCGUGAGAGGGUGACCGGUCACAUUGGGACUGAGACACGGCCCAGACUAAUACGCGAGGCAGCAGUGGGGGAUAUUGAACAAUGGGCGAAAGCCGGAUGCAGCGACGCAGCGUGAGGGAUGGAGGCCUUCGGGUUGGAAACCUCUUUCGCUCAUGGUCAAGCCGCAACUGUGGGUUGUGGUGAGGGUAGUGGGUAAAGAAGCGACGGCUAACUACGUG